UAUAGCAUUGGGUUGGCCAAAAAGUUCAUUCAAAUUUUUCUGUAAGAUAUUACAGAAAAACCCAAACAAACUUUUUGGCCAACCCAAUAAAAUUCC
rnacentral:miRNA from 1 species